rnacentral:rRNA from 1 species
GAUGAACGCUGGCGGCGUGCCUAGUACAUGCAAGUCGAGCGAACGGACGAGAAGCUUGCUUCUCUGAUGUUAGCGGCGGACGGGUGAGUAACACGUGGAUAACCUACCUAUAAGACUGGGAUAACUUCGGGAAACCGGAGCUAAUACCGGAUAAUAUUUUGAACCGCAUGGUUCAAAAGUGAAAGACGGUCUUGCUGUCACUUAUAGAUGUAUCCGCGCUGCUUUAGCUAGUUGGUAAGGUAACGGCUUACCAAGGCAACGAUGCAUAGCCGACCUGAGAGGGUGAUCGGCCACACUGGAACUGAGACACGGUCCAGACUCCUACGGGAGGCAGCAGUAGGGAAUCUUCCGCAAUGGGCGAAAGCCUGACGGAGCAACGCCGCGUGAGUGAUGAAGGUCUUCGGAUCGUAAAACUCUGUUAUUAGGGAAGAACAUAUGUGUAAGUAACUGUGCACAUCUUGACGGUACCUAAUCAGAAAGCCACGGCUAACUACGUG